rnacentral:rRNA from 1 species
GGGUUGUGAGGUUAAGCGACUAAGCGUACACGGUGGAUGCCCUGGCAGUCAGAGGCGAUGAAGGACGUGCUAAUCUGCGAUAAGCGUCGGUGAGGUGAUAUGAACCGUUAUAACCGGCGAUUUCCGAAUGGGGAAACCCAGUGUGUUUCGACACACUAUCAUUAACUGAAUCCAUAGGUUAAUGAGGCGAACCGGGGGAACUGAAACAUCUAAGUACCCCGAGGAAAAGAAAUCAACCGAGAUUCCCCCAGUAGCGGCGAGCGAACGGGGAGGAGCCCAGAGCCUGAAUCAGUGUGUGUGUUAGUGGAAGCGUCUGGAAAGGCGUGCGAUACAGGGUGACAGCCCCGUACACAAAAAUGCACAUAUUGUGAGCUCGAUGAGUAGGGCGGGACACGUGGUAUCCUGUCUGAAUAUGGGGGGACCAUCCUCCAAGGCUAAAUACUCCUGACUGACCGAUAGUGAACCAGUACCGUGAGGGAAAGGCGAAAAGAACCCCGGCGAGGGGAGUGAAAAAGAACCUGAAACCGUGUACGUACAAGCAGUGGGAGCCUCUUAAUGGGGUGACUGCGUACCUUUUGUAUAAUGGGUCAGCGACUUAUAUUCUGUAGCAAGGUUAACCGAAUAGGGGAGCCGAAGGGAAACCGAGUCUUAACUGGGCGUUAAGUUGCAGGGUAUAGACCCGAAACCCGGUGAUCUAGCCAUGGGCAGGUUGAAGGUUGGGUAACACUAACUGGAGGACCGAACCGACUAAUGUUGAAAAAUUAGCGGAUGACUUGUGGCUGGGGGUGAAAGGCCAAUCAAACCGGGAGAUAGCUGGUUCUCCCCGAAAGCUAUUUAGGUAGCGCCUCGUGAAUUCAUCUCCGGGGGUAGAGCACUGUUUCGGCAAGGGGGUCAUCCCGACUUACCAACCCGAUGCAAACUGCGAAUACCGGAGAAUGUUAUCACGGGAGACACACGGCGGGUGCUAACGUCCGUCGUGAAGAGGGAAACAACCCAGACCGCCAGCUAAGGUCCCAAAGUCAUGGUUAAGUGGGAAACGAUGUGGGAAGGCCCAGACAGCCAGGAUGUUGGCUUAGAAGCAGCCAUCAUUUAAAGAAAGCGUAAUAGCUCACUGGUCGAGUCGGCCUGCGCGGAAGAUGUAACGGGGCUAAACCAUGCACCGAAGCUGCGGCAGCGACACUAUGUGUUGUUGGGUAGGGGAGCGUUCUGUAAGCCUGUGAAGGUGGCCUGUGAGGGUUGCUGGAGGUAUCAGAAGUGCGAAUGCUGACAUAAGUAACGAUAAAGCGGGUGAAAAGCCCGCUCGCCGGAAGACCAAGGGUUCCUGUCCAACGUUAAUCGGGGCAGGGUGAGUCGACCCCUAAGGCGAGGCCGAAAGGCGUAGUCGAUGGGAAACAGGUUAAUAUUCCUGUACUUGGUGUUACUGCGAAGGGGGGACGGAGAAGGCUAUGUUGGCCGGGCGACGGUUGUCCCGGUUUAAGCGUGUAGGCUGGUUUUCCAGGCAAAUCCGGAAAACCAAGGCUGAGGCGUGAUGACGAGGCACUACGGUGCUGAAGCGACAAAUGCCCUGCUUCCAGGAAAAGCCUCUAAGCAUCAGGUAACAUCAAAUCGUACCCCAAACCGACACAGGUGGUCAGGUAGAGAAUACCAAGGCGCUUGAGAGAACUCGGGUGAAGGAACUAGGCAAAAUGGUGCCGUAACUUCGGGAGAAGGCACGCUGAUAUGUAGGUGAAGCGACUUGCUCGUGGAGCUGAAAUCAGUCGAAGAUACCAGCUGGCUGCAACUGUUUAUUAAAAACACAGCACUGUGCAAACACGAAAGUGGACGUAUACGGUGUGACGCCUGCCCGGUGCCGGAAGGUUAAUUGAUGGGGUUAGCGGUAACGCGAAGCUCUUGAUCGAAGCCCCGGUAAACGGCGGCCGUAACUAUAACGGUCCUAAGGUAGCGAAAUUCCUUGUCGGGUAAGUUCCGACCUGCACGAAUGGCGUAAUGAUGGCCAGGCUGUCUCCACCCGAGACUCAGUGAAAUUGAACUCGCUGUGAAGAUGCAGUGUACCCGCGGCAAGACGGAAAGACCCCGUGAACCUUUACUAUAGCUUGACACUGAACAUUGAGCCUUGAUGUGUAGGAUAGGUGGGAGGCUUUGAAGUGUGGACGCCAGUCUGCAUGGAGCCGACCUUGAAAUACCACCCUUUAAUGUUUGAUGUUCUAACGUUGGCCCGUAAUCCGGGUUGCGGACAGUGUCUGGUGGGUAGUUUGACUGGGGCGGUCUCCUCCUAAAGAGUAACGGAGGAGCACGAAGGUUGGCUAAUCCUGGUCGGACAUCAGGAGGUUAGUGCAAUGGCAUAAGCCAGCUUGACUGCGAGCGUGACGGCGCGAGCAGGUGCGAAAGCAGGUCAUAGUGAUCCGGUGGUUCUGAAUGGAAGGGCCAUCGCUCAACGGAUAAAAGGUACUCCGGGGAUAACAGGCUGAUACCGCCCAAGAGUUCAUAUCGACGGCGGUGUUUGGCACCUCGAUGUCGGCUCAUCACAUCCUGGGGCUGAAGUAGGUCCCAAGGGUAUGGCUGUUCGCCAUUUAAAGUGGUACGCGAGCUGGGUUUAGAACGUCGUGAGACAGUUCGGUCCCUAUCUGCCGUGGGCGCUGGAGAACUGAGGGGGGCUGCUCCUAGUACGAGAGGACCGGAGUGGACGCAUCACUGGUGUUCGGGUUGUCAUGCCAAUGGCACUGCCCGGUAGCUAAAUGCGGAAGAGAUAAGUGCUGAAAGCAUCUAAGCACGAAACUUGCCCCGAGAUGAGUUCUCCCUGACUCCUUGAGGGUCCUGAAGGAACGUUGAAGACGCCGACGUUGAUAGGCCGGGUGUGUAAGCGCAGCGAUGCGUUGAGCUAACCGGUACUAAUGAACCGUGAGGCUUAACCUUACAACGCCGAAG